GACAGAGGUGCCGAGCGUUAGGCGGAAUCACUGGGCUUAAAGGGUGUGUAGGCGGGCCAUUAAGUCUGUGGUGAAAUCUCCGAGCUCAACUCGGAAACUGCCUUGGAUACUAUUGGCCUUGAAUUAUGUUGAGGUUGGCGGAAUAUAACAUGUAGCGGCGAAAUGCAUAGAUAUGUUAUAGAACACCGAUUGCGAAGGCAGCUAACUAAGCAUAUAUUGACGCUGAUGCACGAAAGCGUGGGGAUCAAACAGG
rnacentral:rRNA from 1 species